CGCUGGCGGCGUGCCUAAUACAUGCAAGUCGAGCGAACGGACGAGAAGCUUGCUUCUCUGAUGCUAGCGGCGGACGGGUGAGUAACACGUGGAUAACCUACCUAUAAGACUGGGAUAACUUCGGGAAACCGGAGCUAAUACCGGAUAAUAUUUUGAACCGCAUGGUUCAAAAGUGAAAGACGGUCUUGCUGUCACUUAUAGAUGGAUCCGCGCUGCAUUAGCUAGUUGGUAAGGUAACGGCUUACCAAGGCAACGAUGCAUAGCCGACCUGAGAGGGUGAUCGGCCACACUGGAACUGAGACACGGUCCAGACUCCUACGGGAGGCAGCAGUAGGGAAUCUUCCGCAAUGGGCGAAAGCCUGACGGAGCAACGCCGCGUGAGUGAUGAAGGUCUUCGGAUCGUAAAACUCUGUUAUUAGGGAAGAACAUAUGUGUAAGUAACUGUGCACAUCUUGACGGUACCUAAUCAGAAAGCCACGGCUAACUACGUGCCAGCAGCCGCGGUAAUACGUAGGUGGCAAGCGUUAUCCGGAAUUAUUGGGCGUAAAGCGCGCGUAGGCGGUUUUUUAAGUCUGGUGUGAAAGCCCACGGCUCAACCGUGGAGGGUCAUUGGAAACUGGAAAACUUGAGUGCAGAAGAGGAAAGUGGAAUUCCAUGUGUAGCGGUGAAAUGCGCAGAGAUAUGGAGGAACACCAAUGGCGAAGGCGACUUUCUGGUCUGUAACUGACGCUGAUGUGCGAAAGCG
rnacentral:rRNA from 1 species